rnacentral:rRNA from 1 species
GACGAACGCUGGCGGCGUGCUUAACACAUGCCAGUCGAACGGAAAGGCCCUGCUUUUGUGGGGUGCUCGAGUGGCGAACGGGUGAGUAACACGUGAGUAACCUGCCCUUGACUUUGGGAUAACUUCAGGAAACUGGGGCUAAUACCGGAUAGGAGCUCCUGCUGCAUGGUGGGGGUUGGAAAGUUUCGGCGGUUGGGGAUGGACUCGCGGCUUAUCAGCUUGUUGGUGGGGUAGUGGCUUACCAAGGCUUUGACGGGUAGCCGGCCUGAGAGGGUGACCGGCCACAUUGGGACUGAGAUACGGCCCAGACUCCUACGGGAGGCAGCAGUGGGGAAUUUUGCACAAUGGGCGGAAGCCUGAUGCAGCAACGCCGCGUGCGGGAUGACGGCCUUCGGGUUGUAAACCGCUUUCGCCUGUGACGAAGCGUGAGUGACGGUAAUGGGUAAAGAAGCACCGGCUAACUACGUG